AGCCUGUAGUCUGUGAGUGGUAUUAACCUGUUGGCUUAAUGUCCAUAGUGGAAUAAGCUAGCUAGCUACAGGCUAGUGCUAGCCUACAUUUAAUCACCAUUUAAUCAGUGCAGGGAAACGUUUAGCAAGAUGUUCAUAUUAAAUCAUUGUCCCUGCCCCUUUUAGCAGCCUUAACAACAGAUGAGUCAGCAGCAGCCCAGUCUCCCCCUAACUGAGCCCCUCCCUGUCCCAGUGAAGAAGCCUUCAAUUCAUGGAGCAGAUGAGAUGGAUAUUGGAAGAUAUUUCAGCAGAGAGAGAGAGAAUCAGGAGAUUGGCAGAGCAGUUGAUCCUGAUUGAGUGACGUCCCUGGACUCGGCUAUCCAAAGCCCCGCUGAAGCAGAUAUUCUGUGCCGGCGCCAGGAGAAACACGGAGCUGACUCCAGGCUGGACUGGACUUGGUUGUUGUUUC